rnacentral:snRNA from 1 species
GUGCUCACUUUGGCAGCACAUAUUGGAACGAUACAGAGAAGAUUAGCAUGGCCCCUGCACAAGGAUGACACGCAAAUUCGUGAAGCGUUCCAUAUUUUU